rnacentral:tRNA from 1 species
GCCGAGAUGGCUGAACGGCUAAAGCGCACGCCUGGAAAGCGUGUCCCUCUUAGGGUUCUGGGUUCGAAUCCCAGUCUCGGCG